AUUGAACGCUGGCGGCAGGCCUAACACAUGCAAGUCGGGCGAGCGGCGGACGGGUGAGUAAUGUAUGGGGAUGUGCCUGAUGGAGGGGGAUAACUACUGGAAACGGUGGCUAAUACCGCAUACCAUCCGAUCGACCCAUAUGGGAUUAGGUAGCUGGUGAGGUAAAGGCUCACCAAGGCGACGAUCUCUAGCUGGUCUGAGAGGAUGACCAGCCACACUGGGACUGAGACACGGCCCAGACUCCUACGGGAGGCAGCAGUGGGGAAUAUUGCGCAAUGGGGGAAACCCUGACGCAGCCAUGCCGCGUGAAUGAAGAAGGCCUUCGGGUUGUAAAAUUCUUUUGGUAGAGAAGCGGUAUCUACAGAGGAAGCACCGGCUAACUCCGUGCCAGCAGCCGCGGUAAUUC
rnacentral:rRNA from 1 species